AUAUAAAUAUUCAGCCAUAACGCUGACUACCUUUUGACCUCUGAAGGUACGUGUCCACAGCCUCCGUCCUUUCCACGCUUCCCAUUCAAUGUCUAUGUCAGCAGCCUUGCAAUGCAUUCUGGUAGCGUGGUCGCCAGAUUUGAGAGCCGGGGCGUCACGUUGCCCGCUCCUCAUUUGCAUAAAGUUGAGGUCUAGGCUACUUUAUGCAAAUCAGGGGGCGUCCGA